CCCCGCCAUUGUAGCUCCCUUUGUGCGCUGGUCUGGUUGCGUCGGGCUGUGGGAAUGGUGCAGUGCCUGUGGGGGCUCCUGCGGCUCCCUCCCCUACGCUAGGGGGAGGCCCCAGCGUCCUGCGCUGUCUUUGCACGGCUUCCUGCGUGCCCCUGGUCCUCGCAGGCUGGUCCGCAGCGCCCUGAGGGUGUCUUAAGAGUCCGGAGGUGUGUUACUGUUGGAUAAAGCAUGAUUAUUCUGGAAGCCUAGCUAGGGUGGUGCCCUUUCAGAUGAGACACCGAUCUGGUAGCUGAAGGGCUGAAGUUUGGAAUUCGCCCUCUGGGAGAAAUGCUGUGGAGAGAUGUCUGUGAUGCCUAUAGGUAAUGGCUCCUGCCACUUGAACCUACAGGCUGUGAUGAGAAGUGAAGAGCUGCGUCCUUUCUCCCUGGCUACUAUGGGUUUUGUUAACGCAGAGGAUAUCUCCCAUCUGGUGUUGGGCAGAUCCCAGGAGCUUCCAUCUAGUUUUCCUGCAUUAACCUGUGUGAGCAGCUGUCAACUUACUGGAGGAAAGAAACUGCCCAGAAAUUUUGAGAUGCUUAAGUAUUUUUAGACCAAUUAGACUUAUUUAACAUAAAUACUGUUUUUAUCAAAAGAUUCCAAUAAAAUAUUUUAAAGCAAAA